AAAUAAAUUACGGGGAGCUUGAAUCUGCAGGCUGAGAGUAAGCUAAAUAUAGCUUUGACCCAUAACUUGAUUUGGAUAAUGCCAACGUAAGGAAAGCAAUUAAAGGUGAU
rnacentral:ncRNA from 1 species